UGCCCCAAGCGACCUCUAUUAAACGGCGACACCUCACGCUGGCCUCGCUGCCAUACCUGCCGCUUUUCAAUGCGCGCUGGCGAUCGAGGAGCGAGUUCAGCGGCUAAAGAUUUCCUUUUUCUGAGAGAAUGCGGGGUGGUGGCGGUUUCGGGUUUGGGUUUCGGGGCGUAGUGGUGGAGGACGAGGAAGAGGUGGUGGUGUCGGCGCCGCAGAGGCCAAUGCAGCGGCGGCGGCGGCUGUGGGGAGAGGAGGCCGACGACGGCUACUCGCCGAGUUCCACGAGCGGCGGCGGGAGCAGUUGCUGCGGCUCCCUCGGCCGCGACUCGCCUUUGGCCGGGUUCGUGCGCCCAGAUGGUGACCCGAACACAGAUCUGGAGACAGAUGGGCUGGCCACUUCCUCCUCCAGUGCCUUCACGGAGCGGCAGGACGACGACGAGGAGGUGUUGUGCGGGGCGAAGGAAGAGGAGUGGGCUCAAGUACAAGAACCGGCCAAGAAUUCGGCAGGCCGUGCCACCCCAGAAUACCAGAACCAGCUGUACCGGCUGGAGGCUGCUCUUUUGCAUGGUAGGAAGGGGUCGAAACAGCGGCCGGCCUCGCUCGACUUAGGUAGUCCUGGGUUCAAUGGAGGCUCGUUUUCUCCAAGUUUCGUGGUCGGCGGUGUGGGAUUGAUGAACAAGGGACUUGUAUCAUCACACAUCAGGUCAGACGUGUUUCGUAGUCCUGGAAGGCCAAACUAUCCGCGGCACCGUUCAUCAGUGUUGGGGUGCCAGAAAGGGUGGAGCUCUGAGAGAGUGCCACUUCCUUCUAAAGGAAAUAGGAGGUACCCUGGGAGCAGCAUGGCAUUUCCUUACAGCAAUAGGAGGGCAUUGCCCUCGAAAUGGGAGGAUGCGGAGAGGUGGAUCUUCAGUCCGAAUUCCAGUGAUGCCCUUGAAAGAACAUCAGUUGCUCAUGCCCGGCAACCAAAGUCUAAAAGUGGCCCCCUGGGGCCUCCUGGAAGACUUGGCGGACAGUAUUCAUCUGUCUCUUCGGUGUCAUUGCUUGAUAGUGGGAGAGCUGGACAUAUUACAGCAAAUUCACCUUUCUUGGCGGGAGUACUAAUGCCGGAUCAUAUUUGUGGAGGAAAAAAUACCAAUGGAAUGUAUCCAGGCAGACCAGCUGGUGAUGAAUUCGGCAUUGGAAGCGGAGGCAGGUUUUGUCUAGCGAAUGGUGGGCCUCAUGCUAUUCGAUCUACCAGAGUUCGCCAGCGAUUAGAUACUGCGGUCGAGUCAUCUGCUUCAUUGCCUAGCACCCAAGAAUCCAUACAAGAUGAACAGGUUGAAAUCACAGAAGAUUCAGCCACCACUAUUGCCCCUAUAAUUUCGAGGAAAGAUGCUGCAACUCAAACUAGCUCAGAGCUAAGUAGGUCCUCUUCGCCCAACACCAGGCCUCUAUUUACCCGUUCACUGUCGGCGCAUCAAGUCAAAGAGAGCGAGAGCUGUAUCUCAGAUCUUGAGAUCAGGGAUGUGCAGAUGGAUGAUCGAGUGAUUCUGACUAGGUGGUCAAAAAAAAAUGUAACACGAUCCACUAACAAGAAUUCAACAAACAUAAUAGAGUGGAAGGAAAAGACAGUGGAGUCUAAAUGUUCUUCCUGGGACUUAACUGAAGCGGAGUGCAUAUCUAAGAUUGAGAGAGCGGAUGCAAAAAUGACUGUAUGGGAGAAUCUUCAAAAAGCAAAAGCUGAGGCAGCAACUCAAAAGUUAGCGAUUAAGUUCGAGAAGAAAAGAUCAUCUUCACUGGACAAGAUUCUGAACACCCUCAGGUCUGCUCAAAGAAAAGCGCGAGUGAUGCGUGAGCGUGAUGCAGCAGCAGCAAACCAAAAUGAAAAGAAAUCUAGAACAAACCAAAAUGAAAAGAAAUCUAGAACGGCAAAAAAGACAGCUCAGAUUAGCAAGAAUUGCCAAAUCAGUUCUCUGAGUGGCUGCUUCACUUGCCAUGCUUUUUAAUGAUGUACUUCCACGAUUGACAGCAUCUAUACUGCACUCUUCCUGUUGCAUCCAGCAAGAUAGUAUCAUGUUGACAACAAGGAAGCAAGACCCGAGGUAUUUU